UUAGAUAGGAGAAUGCUGUUGGAAUUUCUGGUCUCUGCAUUGAGGGGCUGUUGGUCUUUUGGAAAGAUGUGCUUAUUGAAUGGGACAAGCUUGCCCCAAGAGGCAUUGCUAGGGCUGCUCCCAGACCUACUUGUGAUUCAAGGCUGUGCUUCUCCUCUGCACGUGAGACAGACUGGGGCUGUGGCUGAGAUGUCACAUGGCAGAUAGGAUCACAAAUUUCUGUUGUAUCUGGAUGGAGAUCAGCAGGAGGAUCUAUGGACUGCUGUGAUUGCACCUGCCAUCUUAUGCAGAAAUGACCUGAAGACAGACUGAAACAACGUGUUCUACAGCCUGAAAAUAUCUACCUUGACUUACAGUUUUAUUAAUGCUGGUGUGAUCAGACUGGACAAAAAUUAGCAUAUGUUAUUAACUGAUCUAAUUCAAGUGCCAAUUCUUAAUAGAAACACAAAACAAUAAAAGCAAUUCAGAAAAU
rnacentral:lncRNA from 1 species